rnacentral:rRNA from 1 species
UACGGGAGGCAGCAGUGAGGAAUAUUGGUCAAUGGNCGANAGGCUGAACCAGCCAUGCCGCGUGCGGGAGGACGGCCCUAUGGGUUGUAAACCGCAUUUUUUGUGGGAGCAAUAANCGGUCACGUGUGACCUGAUGAGAGUACCAUGAGAAUAAGCNUCGGCUAACUCCGUGCCAGCAGCCGCGGUAAU